UACACAUAGUGUUUCUCUGCCUGG
rnacentral:sRNA from 1 species